UACGUAGGGUGCGAGCGUUGUCCGGAAUUACUGGGCGUAAAGGGCGCGUAGGCGGCCUACUAAGUCGAACGUGAAAUCCCUGGGCUCAACCCAGGAACUGCGUCCGAUACUGGAAGGCUUGAAUCCGGGAGAGGGAUGCGGAAUUCCAGGUGUAGCGGUGAAAUGCGUAGAUAUCUGGAGGAACACCGGUGGCGAAGGCGGCAUCCUGGACCGGCAUUGACGCUGAGGCGCGAAAGCCAGGGGAGCAAACGGG
rnacentral:rRNA from 1 species